rnacentral:misc_RNA from 1 species
UCUGCAAUGACAAAAAGCAAACUGUAUCCGAGAAUGUGUUGAUAUCAAAUGCAAGACUAAAUGGUUGGUAAAAGUAAGAUAAGGGAGAAAACUAUGAACUAUGAAUAUAAUUAUACACUGCUAGAAUGAAGCAUACCACAUAAAUUAAACACAUAUAAACAUCCCAACCCUGCCCUUCCAAACUAUCAGCUCAAAGCUUCAUUUUGCAUUAUGAAAUGCGAGACAAACAGAGCUUGGGAAUGAUUAAAUAUUAAAUGUCUCAAGAGAUUUACUUUACCACUCAUUGAUAUUGUAAAACUUUAAAAGCUAUUCACCAGUUACCAAGAACAGGAAAAACACUAUUAAGAGA